rnacentral:ncRNA from 1 species
CAUCGUGAGGUGGAAUCUGAAGGAAGCUGUAGGCAAAUCCUUGGUCCGACGGACAGAAAUCGCAUAUGAGGCUAGGCUUCGAGAGAUAAGCUGGCGAAAGACAGCAAAGUCUAAUAACUACCACAUUUGUAGAAGUAGAGUAAUCAGCUG